rnacentral:lncRNA from 1 species
UUUGGGCGGCCACGCGACCACUUGGGCUCCAGGCAAUCGCCUGUAACAACUAUGCGUACAUGUUCUAUACUUGUGUUAGGGGGUAACCUCCAUAUACCAUAUACGAUGCAAUAACCCUACUGUGUCUAGAUGUUUGCAUGCUGCUAUAAGGCUUUCAUGGCUCCCAUUAGAAUUACAACUUGUACUUCGGUGGCAAUUUCUCCUUAGGCGCAUGUCUCAGCAACACAAAACGAGGGUUUCGCUGGUUAUAGGACUUGACCAAACAU